UACAGAGGGUGCGAGCGUUGUUCGGAAUUAUUGGGCGUAAAGGGCGCGUAGGCGGUGCGGUAAGUCACCUGUGAAAUCUCCUGGCUCAACUGGGAGCUUGCAGGCGAAACUGCCGUGCUGGAGUGUGGGAGAGGUGCGUGGAAUUCCUGGUGUAGCGGUGAAAUGCGUAGAUAUCAGGAGGAACACCUGUGGCGAAAGCGGCACUCUGGGCCGGAACUGACGCUGAGGAGCGAAAGCGUGGGGAGCGAACAGG
rnacentral:rRNA from 1 species